rnacentral:rRNA from 1 species
GUCUGUUUGAUAUAAGAAACAGUCUGGCCUGCCCACUGAUUAAUUUUAAAGGCCGCGGUAUAAUGACCGUGCGAAGGUAGCAUAAUAAUUAGUCUUUUAAUUGAAGACUGGAAUGAAAGGUCGGACAAAAAGUAAUCUGUCUCUACUAUAAAAAUUGAACUUAACUUUUAAGUGAAAAGGCUUAAAUAUUCUCAAAGGACGACAAGACCCUAUAAAACUUUAUAAACUAAAAAUAAAUUCACAACUUAUAUUUCUAACGGAAAUUAUUUUUAUUUUUAUUUCGUUGGGGCGACGAAAGUAUAAGUCUAACUGCUUUUUAAUAAUACAAUAAUAUUUGAUUAAUUUGACCCUUUUUUAAAGAUCCAAAGAAAAAGUUACUUUAGGGAUAACAGCGUAAUUUUUUUCAAGAGUCCUUAUCGACAAAAAAGUUUGCGACCUCGAUGUUGAAUUAAAAUUCCACUAUAGUGCAGCAAUUAUAGAAGGAGGUCUGUUCGACCUUUAAAAUUUUACAUGAUUUGAGUUCAAACCGGUGUAAG